GGUUAGUUUCAUAAUAUGCUAAAAUAUGGAUCAACAAGUCUCACUUGCCUUUUCCAUCAAUAGCUAGCGCCUGAAGUGGUUUUAAUCAGCAACAUUAUUGUAUGCACAUUUGAACUUUUUCAAGAUUGACCAGAGGGAUCGAGUAAGGGAUGCUUGAAGGUUAUAAACGCCUCAGGUGUCCAAGACAUAUCUACUCUGUCUUGAGAAAACCUUUUUCACUCUUUAAAGUCCGGCUUGUUGUAUGUGGGUAGUGGACCUUUAAUCUAGGAGGUGCGCAUUGUUUAUGCUAAAUUUCGUCAAGUGGGAUUGAAUAACAAAAUCUUGGUUACGAAUUAACUAGAUAAAACUUUAAACGAAAGCAAUAGGAAAAUAAAAAAACGACACGAGGAAUUGGUGACGUGGAAAACCCAAGGAAGGUAAAAACCGCGGGUAGAAUGAGGAUCUACCAAACUUUCACUCUGUAAAAUAUCGAACGAAAAGAGGAUUACAGGAUAUGAUCAAUGUAUUGUAAUAGCUAGGUUAUCCUGUGUCCAUUGUCGUUGGUAUCCUCCCUUUAUAUAGAUGAUUUUUUGGGUUGAAAGUAGCCGUUGCAAGGUGAUAGGAUGAACUCCUCAUUUUCCGGCAACUACCACUUGAUUCAUGGUGUUGAGCUUAUCCCCAUAAUGGGUUGAUUCUGCUGGAGGGUAGACUUAGUUUUGGCGCUUAUCACUUCCUAGAGAAUAGGGAGGUUGUUAUCCCUGCUCCGUCCGUCGAGUCUUGUACUGUAAUCAUUGAUUCUUACUCUUCGUCGCUGACCCCUGUUGACUAGCAUUGACUUUGACUCACUAAAAUUUACCCAUAACAAUUUGCCCCUAACUGCUUAAUAUGGGCAGCUAUGUACAUGUUCAGCAAUUACAACUAUAAAAACAAGAAAACAUAAAUCAAAAAUUUAAAAUUGAUGGACUUAAAAAACUGAUUACUUAAGGGCAUAAGUGUCCUUCCACCUGGUGCACUAACUCGAGAAGUUGCUUCAACUUCCCACUUCUCUAAUUUAACCGUCAUUUCAAGCCUUUAUUACUGCGCGCUGCACAUUUUCCUGCUUCACCAAAUUUACUGCACUCUUUCUCUCUCUUCUUUCUCUUUCUUUUCAGCAAUUACAACUAAAGCGGCGAGUGGCAGUGAUUCUUCGAUUCAAGCUUUCAACAACUUCAAUUGAUAGGUAAUUACUUCGAUUUUCUGUUUAGUUAGUUAUUUUGGGCGAAUGUCGAGUAGUAUUCCUAAAGUUAGAUCUAGGUUUUCACUUCGCAUUGUUGAAAAGAGAGGAACGGUUGUUUCACAGAGGAAAGCGAUGACUAGGGCGGAAUCGCUGAUGGCGCUUGACAUGAUGGAGGGCUUUAUAAUGAUGGUAGGGUUUCUUGAGACUGCCUUUGCCCACGUUCCGGGCAAAGGCAAGAAAGUAGAGAAUUGCCCCAAGGGUUUCGUCGUAUUCUUCAAGUACCCGUUCUUGGAGACAGGGGCUAAAUUUCCAUUUAAGCCCUUAACUAAAUCUUUUUUCGAGGUGCUGGGGUUGAGCCCUAGGCAAUUGAUGCCGUCUGGCUCGAGGAUUUUGUCGGUGUUGGAGGAGGUUACCAAAAAUUGGGAUGAUCCUUUUACUUUGGAGGAUUUAACUGAGGCGUAUGAGAUAAGGAUGAGGAAGGAUGGUUUUGUAAGUUUGCAUAAGAAGGGGGAACAGUUGGUUUUGAAUACCGACUGUAAUGACAGGGGUUAGGUUAGUUGGUUUGUUUCGUCAAAAAGAUAUCACUGGUUCCGGAGGAAAUUGGUUGACGGAGGGAUGGCCAACGAAGGGUAAGUAUCUUUUUCUCGUAUUUGAUUUCUUGGACUAAGGUUUUCUAAAUGUUUGAUCUUGGUUCUGACUAUGCAGGCCUGAAUUUCGACUUUCUCGAGCCGACGGAGGCGUCAGCGUUGCAGGUAAAGCGGAUUCUUGAGGUGAAACACAUGGAAAGAACUUUCGAAAGGACGAGGUACAUUCUUGGUGAAUUGUCGGGCUAAAAGCAAAAAGGAUUACCAAGUACCUCGAUGUCUACUCAAUCUGCAGCACAAGGUAGUCGUCUAGGACGAAGCCUAUCUCAGGCGGAGCAAAAUGCACGGAUGAGGAGGAAACGGGAGUUGCCACCUCAAGAGGCGUCGCCAUUGUCGGUGGUAGACAGGACGGAGCAGCUGAAUGCUUCGUCGCGACAGAAGGUUAGCGAUGUAGCCACACUGGUUUAUGCGUCGUCGUCCCCUCCUCAUAAACAGCAAAAGAUGGACGACACUCCAGCACUUCCAGGCGCAUUUUCCUGCUGGCUACCUUAGUCUUAGUAAGGAUACUCGUCGGUCUUUGUUUCCGCAGUUGAAUCAACUGUUGUUCCCCGGUUCUCGAGAAGGGUUGGCUGGGACUUCGAUCUUGGAUAUUGCGUCGGAGGCUGCUUCCGUUCAUCUCUACUGUUUGCAGAAUUCCUUGGCUUUAAGGGAAAGGGUGAUCGGGUUGGCUAAGGAGAUGAAGAGGUUGGAUGAUGUUGCUAAAAACAGUGAGGCUAAGAAUAGGACUGCGACGAGACAAUUUCAAACUGUGAAAAAGAAGUUCGACGAAGCAGUCAAGAAGGUGGACGAACUGGAAAGUCGUCUAGAGGCUCAGGCCAAGAAGAUGGACGAGCAGUCAAAGAAGGUGGAGGAGCAAACCCAACAGCUAUAGGACCAAGCCAAGCAACUGAAGUAGCAAGCCCAGUAACUGGAAGACAAAGGUGUAAUCAUACGGGACAGAGGUGAAGCUUUGUCGAAGGUGCAGGAUGAGUUGUUGAUAGUCGAAAAGGAGCUGGAUGACGCUCUAAAUAAGGGUGCAGAGUUGGAGAUCAAACUUAGGGCUCGAUUGAUGAAGGAGUACCUGGACGAGAAGGCUUCGGAAUGGCGACCUCAGGAGGACAUUAAUCGCUUUUUGACUAAUGGAGGGACUCUUGCUGAGCUAGGGGAAGAUGCUGCGGUAGUUUCGACUGCAGAUUCGGGACCUCAUCCGUCAAACGUUGUUCCUCCAUCCAUUGACGAUGCUAAAGCGCAACCAUCAGUUGGUGAAGGCGUUGGAGACAAUGCUCAUGUCGACGAAAUCAUAAAGAUGUCGUCGAGGAGCUGAACACUGAUGACAAUGCUGCUGGAGGUGCUGAUAUUUGAAGGCCAUCGCUUGUGAUGGUUUCACUUCCUUUUGUUAUGUACUUCUGUUUCUGUUUCGUACUUUGACGUUUUUACUUUUUGUUUGGAUAUUUUCCUGUUGUUGCUUUUGAAUUCCCUUGUUUUAGAUUUCGUUGCUUUAUGUUUCACUUGGUGGCAAGUGGUUCUUUUGAACACUGUCGUGAUGUCGUCAUAACUUUUGUUAUGGUAUUUUUCCUUUGUUUCGUCUGUUGUCUUUUUCUUUUGAUCUGCGUAUAGCAAGCAAUGUAAGGUAAAAACUUUUUUUAUUUUUUUUUACUUUUUUUUAUAGGUUAGGGAAAAACAGUUAAGUUAAAACCAAAGCAAAAAGGAUUUUUAGUUGGGUGAAAGGAGUUAAGCGAAUAUUAAAAUACGGAAAAGAGUUAUCAUUUAGUAAAGUAUUUACUGGGUUGUUUGAAAUAAAUUAGACCAUGUAAUAAACAAAAGAUGUAAAACUUGAUAAAAAAAAAACAUUUUUUAUUUGCUGACUUGUCAAUGUACAAUGUAUUCGUCGAAGACUAUGUAUACUCGAGUUUAGGCCUUCGCUGUUUGCCAAUGCCCCUUGCGUCCCAGCGUCGACGCUGAACACUGAAGACUAAGUUCGUAGUUCAGGUGUCGGGUGUUUGGCGUCACACGUUAAGGUCAGAUUUGCCCAGGCUUCAUCUUGUUUCAAUGUUUUCAUUUGAACGGCGGCUUUCCUCAUCCUUUUGAAGGAUGUCACUGUAGCCGACGUCGAUUGCCUUUGUAUCGUUUUGUUGUGAUUUUGGGUCGUGACCUGAGUUAUUUGUUUCGUCGCCGUAUGUUUUGUCGAUCGAUGUUCUGCAAAACCAACAUGGUUAGAGUACCAUUGGCCG